UGUGACCCACAAAGAUCAAGGAAUCUAAGCCGGCCAAGGUUAAGCAUGAAUCGAGGAAAGGAAACAGAAAUCCUCUUCCUAGUCCUCUUUCCUCUGUUUUCUCCUCUGGGUACCAGAAUUGCGACAGAGUGGGACAGCUCAGGCAGCUGCAGGUCUUGGCCAGUGCUCUUCCUCACCCAGGCCAUGCAGCAUCAACACAGUCACCGUAGAACUCCUCUUAAGACAAGCAAAGGAACUUUCCAACCCAGUUGAGUGCACUUUUCCCAAGUGUGUGGUAAAAAGUUAAAUGACA
rnacentral:lncRNA from 1 species